rnacentral:rRNA from 1 species
UACGUAGGGGUGCAAGCGUUAAUCGGAAUUACUGGGCGUAAAGCGUGCGCAGGCGGUUCUAUAAGACAGAUGUGAAAUCCCCGGGCUCAACCUGGGAACUGCAUUUGUGACUGUAGAGCUGGAGUGCGGCAGAGGGGGAUGGAAUUCCGCGUGUAGCAGUGAAAUGCGUAGAUAUGCGGAGGAACACCGAUGGCGAAGGCAAUCCCCUGGGCCUGCACUGAC